GUAACACUAACUGGAGGACCGAACCGACUAAUGUUGAAAAAUUAGCGGAUGACCUGUGGCUGGGGGUGAAAGGCCAAUCAAACCGGGAGAUAGCUGGUUCUCCCCGAAAGCUAUUUAGGUAGCGCCUCGUGAAUUCAUCUCCGGGGGUAGAGCACUGUUUCGGCUAGGGGGCCAUCCCGGCUUACCAACCCGAUGCAAACUGCGAAUACCGGAGAAUGUUAUCACGGGAGACACACGGCGGGUGCUAACGUCCGUCGUGAAGAGGGAAACAACCCAGACCGCCAGCUAAGGUCCCAAAGUCAUGGUUAAGUGGGAAACGAUGUGGGAAGGCCCAGACAGCCAGGAUGUUGGCUUAGAAGCAGCCAUCAUUUAAAGAAAGCGUAAUAGCUCACUGGUCGAGUCGGCCUGCGCGGAAGAUGUAACGGGGCUAAACCAUGCACCGAAGCUGCGGCAGCGAACGUAUCACCCAAGACAACUUUACGGAGUUGACGAUUGACGGAGCGAAGCGACGUCAAAGCGU
rnacentral:rRNA from 1 species